GACGAACGCUGGCGGCGUGCUUAACACAUGCAAGUCGAACGGUGAAGCCCGGCUUUUGUGCCGUUCUGAAGUGCCGCACACGUGUGUAUAACGUGAGUGACAUGCCCCUUACUGUGGGGUAACAUAUGUGAACUCGAUCGAAUACACGGCAUAACCUCUUUAUACAUAAGUUUUAAGUUAAAAAUUUGCAAUUGCAUCACUCACUCAUGAUUCAGCGUUGUAUUAGUUAGUUGGUGAGGUACAGACUCACCAAGGCGAUGAUACAGAGCCGAACUGAUCGGGCGAUCGGCCACAUUGAGACUGAGACACGGCCCAAACGCCUACAGGAGGCAGCAGUAGGGAAUCUUCAGCAAUGGACGAGAGUCUGAGCGAGCAACGCCGCGUGAGGGAAGAAGGUUUUCGGAUCGGAAAACUCUGUUGGUAGAGAAGAACGUUGGUGAGAGUGGAAAGCUCAUCAAGUGACGGUAACUACCCAGAAAGGGACGGCUAACUACGUG
rnacentral:rRNA from 1 species